UGCUUGAUGCAUGCUUGAGUAUAUUUUAGUUGAUUCUUCAAUCCAACAAGUUAAGUGUGCUUAAGCAAGAUAAGUCUUGGGAUGGGUGACCUCCCAGGAAGUCUUGGUUACCAAGUGC
rnacentral:rRNA from 1 species